UACGGAAGGGGCGAGCGUUGUUCGGAAUCAUUGGGCGUAAAGCGCGCGUAGGCGGCUCGGAAAGUCGGUCGUGAAAUGCCGGGGCUCAACCCCGGGACUGCGUCCGAUACUCCCGAGCUGGAGGCAGGUAGGGGAGAUCGGAAUUCCUGGUGUAGCGGUGAAAUGCGCAGAUAUCAGGAGGAACACCGGUGGCGAAGGCGGAUCUCUGGGCCUUGCCUGACGCUGAGGCGCGAAAGCUAGGGGAGCGAACAGG
rnacentral:rRNA from 1 species